rnacentral:rRNA from 1 species
UCGAGGGCCCGAUACUCCGACCCUCCGCCCGGGAACUACGAGCACUAGCUUAAAACCCAAAGGACUUGGCGGUGCUUUACCCCCCACUAGAGGAGCCUGUUCUAGAACUGAUAACCCCCGUUGAACCUCACCAUCCCUCGUUUAACCCGCCUAUAUACCGCCGUCGUCAGCUUACCCUGUGAAGGCCAAAUAGUAAGCAAAAAUGGCUAAGCCAAAAACGUCAGGUCGAGGUGUAGUGAAUGGGAUGGGAAGAAAUGGGCUACAUUCUCUGUCACAGAGAAUACGAAUGGCAGCCUGAAAACCCUGCCUGAAGGUGGAUUUAGCA